UACGGAGGAUCCGAGCGUUAUCCGGAUUUAUUGGGUUUAAAGGGUGCGAAGGCGGGAGAUUAAGUCGGCGGUGAAAUUUUGCAGCUCAACUGUAAAAGUGCCUUCGAAACUGGUUUCCUUGAGUGUGGAUGAAGUAGGCGGAAUUUGUGGUGUAGCGGUGAAAUGCAUAGAUAUCACGAGGAACUCCGAUUGCGCAGGCAGCUUACUAAACCAUAACUGACGCUCAGGCACGAAGGCGUGGGGAUCAAACAGGAUUAGAUACCCUGGUAGU
rnacentral:rRNA from 1 species